UUUUAGGUGUUUUCUUUCCUUUGAUUUUAAUGUCUAAUUUUAUGUAUCUUUUCUUUGUGAGUAUGAGGAACUAAAUCCCUCUUAGUUAGGGGGUGAUUCGAAACCAUGUUCAUAUUUGCAAUAUGAUUUGAUUACAUCCAGUUGUGAUUCAUAAGUUGUAAAUUCAAUUUACUUAUCUGAUCGUAUAAGAAAUGAUUUGUGUAUGUUGGUUGAGAGUGCACGCUUAAUUU
rnacentral:lncRNA from 1 species